AUUGAACGCUGGCGGCAGGCCUAACACAUGCAAGUCGAGCGGAUGAUGGGAGCUUGCUCCUGGAUUCAGCGGCGGACGGGUGAGUAAUGCCUAGGAAUCUGCCUGGUAGUGGGGGACAACGUUUCGAAAGGAACGCUAAUACCGCAUACGUCCUACGGGAGAAAGCAGGGGACCUUCGGGCCUUGCGCUAUCAGAUGAGCCUAGGUCGGAUUAGCUAGUUGGUGGGGUAAAGGCCUACCAAGGCGACGAUCCGUAACUGGUCUGAGAGGAUGAUCAGUCACACUGGAACUGAGACACGGUCCAGACUCCUACGGGAGGCAGCAGUGGGGAAUAUUGGACAAUGGGCGAAAGCCUGAUCCAGCCAUGCCGCGUGUGUGAAGAAGGUCUUCGGAUUGUAAAGCACUUUAAGUUGGGAGGAAGGGCAGUCAGUUAAUACCUGGUUGUUUUGACGUUACCAACAGAAUAAGCACCGGCUAACUUCGUGCCAGCAGCCGCAGUAAGAC
rnacentral:rRNA from 1 species